rnacentral:rRNA from 1 species
GUUAUAGUUUAUUUGAUGGUGCUUCCUACUCGGAUAACCGUAGGAAAACUAGAGCUAAUACGUGCGUAUAAUCCCGACCUCUGGAAGGGACGUAUUUAUUAGAUAAGAGGCCGACCGGAGCUUGCUCCGACCUUCGGUGAAUCAUGAUAACUUCACGAAUCGCAUGGCCUCCGCGCCGGCGAUGUUUCAUUCAAAUUUCUGCCCUAUCAACUUUCGACGGUAGGGUAGUGGCCUACCGUGGUGGUAACGGGUAACGGAGGAUUAGGGUUCGAUUCCGGAGAGGGAGCCUGAGAAACGGCUACCACAUCCAAGGAAGGCAGCAGGCGCGCAAAUUACCCAAAUCCCAACUCGGGGAGGUAGUGACAAGAAAUAACGAUGCUCCGGCCAACGGUCGGGUAAUCGGAAUGAGAACAAUAUAAAUCCCUUAUCGAGGAUCAAUUGGAGGGCAAGUCUGGUGCCAGCAGCCGCGGUAAUUCCAGCUCCAAUAGCGUAUAUUUAAGUUGCUGCGGUUAAAAAGCUCGUAGUCGGAUUUCGGUUGGCACCUGCCGGUCCGCCUUUGGUGAGUACUGGUAGGCGCUUACUUUCUGCCGAGGAUAGGCUCAUGGGCUUAACUGUCUGGGGUCUGGAGUCGGCGACGUCACUUUGAGUAAAUUAGGGUGUU